UGAGGAAUAUUGGUCAAUGGUCGCUAGACUGAGCCAGCCAAGUAGCGUGCGGGAUGAAGGCCCUCCGGGUCGUAAACCGCUUUUAGACGGGGAUAAAAGGGCGUACGUGUACGCCGUAUUGCAUGUACCGUCAGAAAAACGGACCGGCUAAUUCCGUGCCAGCAGCCGCGGUAAUACGGAAGGUCCGGGCGUUAUCCGGAUUUAUUGGGUUUAAAGGGAGCGUAGGCGGACUUUCAAGUCAGUGGUAAAAUCGUGUGGCUCAACCAUACCUCGCCAUUGAAACUGGAAGUCUGGAGUGCACACAGGGGUGCCGGAAUUCAUGGUGUAGCGGUGAAAUGCUUAGAUAUCAUGAAGAACUCCGAUCGCGAAGGCAAGUGCCCGGGGUGCAACUGACGCUGAGGCUCGAAGGUGCGGGUAUCGAACAGGAUUAGAUACC
rnacentral:rRNA from 1 species